rnacentral:rRNA from 1 species
AGAGUUUGAUCAUGGCUCAGGACGAACGCUGGCGGCGUGCCUAAUACAUGCAAGUCGAGCGGUCCCUUCGGGGAUAGCGGCGGACGGGUGAGUAACACGUAGGCAACCUGCCUGUAAGAUCGGGAUAACUAUCGGAAACGAUAGCUAAGACCGGAUAGCUGGUUCUCUCGCAUGAGGGGAUCAUGAAACACGGAGCAAUC